GCUACUCAAGACAACAAAUCUCAAUAUAGUCACUUACGUAGUGCCUUUUUUACAUUCAGCUUUAUAGAGGUCAAGUAGAGUCAUGAACCAUCUCUAUUGUCGACUUCAUAAAGUCUAAUCUUAGUUUACCUAAGGCAACAUUCAUGAUUAAGACACUUGCUCAUUUAGCAUGAAAUGGGUCAUAUCACUACUACAGGUACAAGAUUUAGUGACGACAAAUGUCGCCACCAUAGCUAAUAUUGUCGCCACGGAAAAUGUUUUGGCGGCGACAAUCGGUCGCCGCACGCCGCCGCCGAAAGCCCCGUCGGUAAAACUAUUUGGUGGCGACAAUGAGUCGCCGCUAAAAGUAGAUAAUUAGUGGCGACAAUGUGUCGCCGCUAAAAGUCGAUAAUUAGUGGCGACGUACCGUCGCCGCUAAAAAUUACANUAAGAAUGAAAAGAAUCAAGUUGUAAUAAUCAUGUUAAAUCGGAUUGUAUUUGGAAGUUAAGUGAAAGCUAAUGUAAGAAUCUAAUGAGAUUUGUGAUGUAAAGAUGGAUGAAUGUGAAUGCAUGUAAUAAUAUAGGAUGUGUUAUGUUGUUUGAUACCUUCCAUUAUGCAAUCUUUGAUUGAAAUGUGUUCCUGGUUGGAACUUUGUACAUUGUAUUGAUUG
rnacentral:lncRNA from 1 species